CUACGUGCCAGCAGCCGCGGUAAUACGUAGGUGGCAAGCGUUGUCCGGAAUUAUUGGGCGUAAAGCGCGCGCAGGCGGAUUGGUCAGUCUGUCUUAAAAGUUCGGGGCUUAACCCCGUGAUGGGAUGGAAACUGCCAAUCUAGAGUAUCGGAGAGGAAAGUGGAAUUCCUAGUGUAGCGGUGAAAUGCGUAGAUAUUAGGAGGAACACCAGUGGCGAAGGCGACUUUCUGGACGAUCACUGACGCUGAGGCGCGAAAGCCAGGGGAGCGAACGGGAUUAGAUACCCCGGUAGUCCUGGCCGUAAACGAUGGGUACUAGGUGUAGGAGGUAUCGACCCCUUCUGUGCCGGAGUUAACGCAAUAAGUACCCCGCCUGGGGAGUACGACCGCAAGGUUGAAACUCAAAGGAAUUGACGGGGGCCCGCACAAGCGGUGGAGUAUGUGGUUUAAUUCGACGCAACGCGAAGAACCUUACCAGGUCUUAACAU
rnacentral:rRNA from 1 species